AGAGGCAAUACGGAUUUUGCAGAAACUGGCAGCCACGUCACCGCUACAGGUCUGGCCAACUUUCCCAGCCCUUUGCGGAAAGUGCUGCAGAGGAAUCCCUAUGCAGAAUAUAUAUAAUGAACGUUUAUGAGCAUUUAUAGUGAUUUCCAAAGAACAAGAGGACAUAACAUUUGGGAACAUUGGAGUUAUUUGUUUUUGGAGAGUCUCAUUUUACAUACGUUAUUGUUUUGACUUCGCCUGAAGACUACUUGGAGGCCUCAUUCUUACAGAUUUGUACCAAUAUUUCGACUCUUUCUUUUUGGAAUACCAAAACAGCACUAUGAAUAUCUUCCGUCUAGCCGGUGACGUGUCACAUCUCGUUGCUAUCAUCAUUCUAUUUAUGAAGAUACGGAGGUCCAAAUCCUGUGCCGGUAUUUCUGGGAAGUCUCAGGUGCUUUUUGCAUUAGUCUUCACUACAAGAUACUUGGACCUGUUCACGAGCGUAAUCUCCAUCUACAACACAGUUAUGAAGGUGGUGUUUCUGGCUUUGGCAUAUGCUACUGUGUACCUGAUCUACAUGCGCUUCAGGAGCACCUUCGACUCAGAGAGUGACUCAUUCCGUGUUGAGUUCCUGCUUGUGCCUGUGGCUGGGCUUUCCUUCCUGGAAAACUAUGCAUUUGCCCCCUUGGAGGUAAAUGUGUCAGGUUCAAUACAUACUGAACAUACAGAUCCUGUGGACCUUCUCCAUCUACCUGGAGUCAGUGGCCAUCUUGCCCCAGCUCUUCAUGAUCACCAAGACCGGCGAGGCAGAGUCCAUCACCACCCACUACCUGUUCUUCCUGGGUCUCUACCGAGCCCUGUACCUGGCCAACUGGGUGUGGCGCUACCACACCGAGGGCUUCUUUGACCAGAUUGCUGUGGUGUCCGGUGUGGUGCAGACAAUUUUCUACUGUGACUUCUUCUACCUUUACGUUACCAGGGUGCUCAGAGGAAGUGGAAAGAUGUCCCUGCCCAUGCCCAUCUAAAGAGAGUCAGUGCUGUUUUAAGCGACAGUUGAGCAGUUCAGUAACUGAAAGCACCUCUGCCCACAAAUCAUACUUAGUAAUGGACUACAGUCUGCAGUGUCACAGUACCCCCUGUAUACCCUGGGGGGUAUAUACUGUACCCAGAGGGCAACCGUCGUGUUGUUGGUACCUGGUGUGUUUGUUAGUGUGCUUUUCCCUAGACUAAAAUGACCAAAGAACGAUUGUCCUAUGUUUUUGUGCAUGAGUGUGUGGAACUGAAUGUUAAUGGGAAUUGAGUAAAUUGAAUACUGUGGGAUUUUUUAUUUUUAUUAUACUUUUUUUUCAUGGAGGCAGAUAUUGUCCCGCUUGAAUUAGUCCAAUGGAGUUUGUGCCUUAUUUUUCCUUUUCUAGUAAAUGGCAUAUUUGAAUGUCGUAUUACAUCAGAAUGGUGUAAACAUUGUAUAUAUGUGAGACAUUUGUUCUGCUUUCCUGUCUUUUCACUAUUUCUACAUAUAACAGUGACCAACCUUCAAUGCUUACAUUGUUUCACCAAGCAGAGUUCAUUGGGAGUCUUGUAUUUAGGCUGCUAUGGGCGAUAUUUGCCAUCCUUGUCAAGCAGAGUUCAUUGGGAGUCUUGUAUUUAGGCUGCUAUGGGUGAUAUUUGCCAUCCUUGUCAAGAGUUGUGCUAUGUUCUUCCCUUUAUGAUAAUAAGUCCAUGGAGAUGCCAUACAGAACGCACUGUCAUGUAUGUAACUCUUAUAUCCGUUCACUUCUUGACUGAACCAAGGUUCUUCUUAAAUACGUUGUAUUCUGUACUUUGAUUUUUACCAGUCAUUUCCAUUCCUUUAAUAUUAAUGCAUUUCAUUAAGCAGAACAAAUACACAUUUGUGUGAUGUCACAGUUCAAUCUAAAUCUAUUUUCUAUUUGAUGAGUUAUUUCUCACUAACUAGAGUUCAUUCAUAUCUCAACAUUUAUUGACAACAUUUUCAGACCAGGAUUACAAUGGCGAAGGCAGAUUAAUGCUUCAACAAAAUGGAAAGUUACUUACACUAAGUAUCUUGGUACUACUAAAUUUGUAUAUGUGUGCCAAACUUUUACAACUGUGGUGCCCAUGUUGUAAUGAUCAACAUUUUAAUACAAAGAACCUUCAUCAUUUGUAAAUUAGGUCAGUAAAAUGUAUCUUUACUGGUU